rnacentral:rRNA from 1 species
CAAUACGGAGUGGCAGACGGGUGAGUAACGCGUGGGAACAUACCCUUCGGUUCGGAAUAACUCAGGGAAACUUGAGCUAAUACCGGAUACGUCCAAGGUUUAAUCGCUUUGGAGAAAGAUUUAUCGCCGAGGGAUUGGCCCGCGUCUGAUUAGCUUGUUGGUGAGGUAAUGGCUCACCAAGGCGACGAUCAGUAGCUGGUCUGAGAGGAUGAUCAGCCACAUGGGACUGAGACACGGCCCAAACUCCUACGGGAGGCAGCAGUGGGGAAUAUUGGACAAUGGGCGAAAGCCUGAUCCAGCCAUGCCGCGUGAGUGAUGAAGGCCUUAGGGUUGUAAAGCUCUUUUACCCGGGAAGAUAAUGACGGUACCGGGAGAAUAAGCCCCGGCUAACUUCGUGCCAGCAGCCGCGGUAAU